GCAGGUCCAAACCACUGGUAGCAGCCCCUGGUAUAUCCAGGACAUCAGCACAUAGAACCAGUGAAAGGGUCCUCCCUCAUAGUGACGCAUGUCAUAGACUCAGAUUUAUACAAACAAAUGCUGAGCAAACCAUGAAGAGUCUCUGGUAUUUUCAACAAUAUCAUCACAGAGGAACUGUAUUGAUUUCCUUGCACGUUCAGGGUACUGGGAGAGGCAACAGGGAUGGAGGUCCCAUGUCAGGGGACUUCACAGUGUGACGGGAAUGUUCAACCUGCACCUGUUCCUUGCACCAUACUCCAUCCAGCUCUCCGCUCUUCCAGUCAUUUAUGCUCCUGUCUUCCGUGGAGGAAGUCUGGUAGUAUCUCCCCGGGACACUGGCUCAAAUUUCCAGCCACCUGCCCAAGACAGAUGGGACCAGGGGCCAGAUGAUGUGGACAAUGAUGAUGUCACAAAGAGAAGUAAGAAAUAAAGGAGGCAACUUAGUGGGAAAGGUGAUGUUCUGGGUUCUGAAGAAGAUGAGAGAUACCAGGCCAGGCUGUGCUUUGCCUCUUGGCCUAUUUUCCUUCCUGACUUUUUUCAGCCACAGUGAGUCUCUGAGACCUAGUUUUGGCAGAAGGAAGUACCAGAGGGAGCUGAGCUGUUGAACAUUAUGUGCGAUCAUGUAAUAACUGCAAUCGGAAGGGAAACACUCAGAGUCCUGGAGAAAGAGAAAUUCGCAUUUGUGGACGCCUGCUGGGAGCUAGGCACUUUCGAAUAGUUCCUGUCACCUAACUUAAGUAUCAUUACUCAAGUACUAAUUAACUUAGGUAUUAUGCAGAGAAGUCGAAUAAUUAGAAAAGUGGCAUGACUUAUACAAGGCAACAUAACAGCUAGAAUUUAAAUGUAAAACUGCCCGAUUCCAAAUCCACACUCUUUCUACUACAAGGCCUUGCCCCCUUCUCUGGGCCACACCAACAUCGCAGUUGCAGGCGAAGAGGCCAUGUCUAAUGACUGCCCCCUUUACAUGCCAACCUAGUCAUGGUCAUGGUGGUGUGAUAUCUAAAAACAAAAUGGAACCACCAUGAAAAAUUUGUCUCUGAGGACCCAGAGUAGUAAAAUCCCAGGAUAAGGAAGGCCUUUAGCGGAUAUAUGGCCUGCUGUCCCGUUCAGUCUAGAAAACGCCUCCUCAGGGUCCCUGCAGAUGGUCACCUCCCUCUGCAGGAGGACGUCCAGUGGGAGGAGAGCCACUUCCCCAGGUCUCCCUGACACUAAUGUCAGAAGGUGCUUUCUUAGGUUGAAUCAAAAUCUCUCUCCCUGUGUCUUCUCUUUGCUUCCUGUUCUUUUCUCUGGAGCAACAUGAUGUAAAUAAGUUUAUUUUCUUUUGUGCACAUCAGAAUUUCAUAUUCAAAGGACAUCAUCAGCUCUCUUGUUAGAAGGGGUCCAGGCUGAACACCCUCUUUUCUCUCAAUGAUCCCAGCUAUGACACAGUUUUCUGAUCUUCAACAUCCUGGAGGCCCAAGACUAUUCAAAUAUGUCACAAAUAUCUCUAAUCACAUCUUGUGAUUAUGACUUGGAUAGAAGAUAAACAUUAUUUCCAUAAUGAUGAACAUAA
ensembl:lncRNA LINC01255 long intergenic non-protein coding RNA 1255